AUGAUUUUAUCGUAGAAAGUCCAGUUCAAUUACUUGAAGCAAUUGCAUAGCCCAAUUUUCACAUGGUUUAAUCUGUUUGAAAUGCCAUAUUGCCAUGGAUACAAGAUGAGCAAGAUAUAUUUCUCAUUUCAUACAAUCAAGACACAAUGUACAAAAAAGAAAAUGAAAUUAUGCAAUAUGCCCUAUUUUUUCUUUUUCGAGUAAAUUCCUUGUGUGCCCCUGAAAAGUUACCCAAUCCCUUACAUGCCCCUGGAACUUACUCAAUUCCUUCUAUACCCCCGAAUUUUCGAUUGGAUCCCCUACAUACCCCUACCGUUUGGGUUCCGUCAGAUGUUUGUGUUCAUGUGUGUGUUAGCUUGUCAGUAUUUUCAUAAAAUGCGAAAAUGCCCCUGUCAACCCUAGGUAACACAGGGCCACAUCCGAUCCCCAAAUCCUCCAAAAUAGUAUAGUUCCCACACGCACGGUGCCGCACAUCGCCAGCUUUCAGCCAUCGUUGCACGCGCAUCGCCGCCCUUCUCCCACAUCCCGGCGGCGGCAACGGCUCUGCAUCCCGCCGCGGUCUCGGCUCUGCUUGCGGUCAGCGGCGGCGGCUAGGUCCGCAUCCCAUCAGUGGCGCGGCGGGGUCCGCAUCUGGUGGGCGGCGGCGGCUUUGCAUCCCGCCGCGGCGACGAGUCCGCAUCCCGCCGCGGCCUCGACUCUGCUUGCGGUCAUGGCGACGCCAUCUCCUCCCUGCCUCCUCCGCGCCCUCCCUCUUGUCACCUCACCCUCUUCUCGGGGGCUCCGACGCCGGCCUAUUACCUCCUUGCUCCGCUGCUCCUCGCCGUCGGCGGAUGCCUUGAACUGUUAUGGGCUUGUGCCAUUAUGCUCAUGAUGUAAAAAGUAAUAUAUUUGUGUACUGCUGAUGGUGUAUGAAUGCUUUUAGAUGUAUUUUCAUUUUCUUCCUAUUAAAUGGUGCUACCGAUCCUCUUGAUA